UCCUCGGUAGCUCAACGGUAGAGCAGGCGGCUGUUAACUGCAAGGUUACAGGUUCGAAUCCUGUCCGGGGAGCCA
rnacentral:tRNA from 1 species